rnacentral:rRNA from 1 species
UACGUAGGGUGCAAGCGUUGUCCGGAAUUAUUGGGCGUAAAGAGCUUGUAGGCGGUCUGUCGCGUCUGCUGUGAAAUCCCGGGGCUCAACCCCGGGCGUGCAGUGGAUACGGGCUGGCUAGAGGCAGGCAGGGGAGAACGGAAUUCCCGGUGUAGCGGUGAAAUGCGCAGAUAUCGGGAGGAACACCGGUGGCGAAGGCGGUUCUCUGGGCCUGUACUGACGCUGAGGAGCGAAAGCGUGGGGAGCGAACAGG